rnacentral:rRNA from 1 species
UACGUAGGGGGGCAAGCGUUGUCCGGAUUUAUUGGGCGUAAAGAGCGUGUAGGCGGUCUGGUAGGUCCGUUGUGAAAACUCGAGGCUCAACCUCGAGACGCCGAUGGAAACCAUCAGACUAGAGUCCGGAAGAGGAGAGUGGAAUUCCUGGUGUAGCGGUGAAAUGCGCAGAUAUCAGGGAAGAACACCCGUGGCUAAGGCGGCUCCUCUAGUAAGCGGGUACUGG